GAAAUUAUGACCUUUCAAUAGCGGGAGUCAUCUCCAGCUUGAUAAGGUAAAGGCCUGUUUCUUCUCUUUGUCCCUGAGAAAGUUCUUUAUAGUUAUAAUUAUCAUAACCAUGAGCAUGUCUGGCUCUCUGCUCUCAAGGCUGAAGAGUCUGGGAAAUUUAGAGUCACGUUUCCCUGUGUUUGGCUCCUCAAAGUUCUCUUUUUCUCUCCUUCUCAAAGAGCUUGAGCUGCUCUCUAUAGUUUUCUCUGCCCUGGGCGCCCUGAGCCUGUAUCGAGUCUCACCCCCACACCGAGGUUCUCCAUGGGCGACUGUAGACUGAGGAGUUCAUGCACUCGUAAUGACUGAUGCUGUCACCUUCUCUGGCCUCUCCUCCGUCCUGGAAUGACUGCCUGCCCCAGAAAACUGA